rnacentral:rRNA from 1 species
GUGGGGAAUCUUAGACAAUGGGGGAAACCCUGAUCUAGCCAUGCCGCGUGAUCGAUGAAGGCCUUAGGGUUGUAAAGAUCUUUCAGGUGGGAAGAUAAUGACUGUACCACCAGAAGAAGCCCCGGCUAACUCCGUGCCAGCAGCCGCGGUAAUACGGAGGGGGCUAGCGUUGUUCGGAAUUACUGGGCGUAAAGCGCGCGUAGGCGGACCAGAAAGUUGGAGGUGAAAUCCCAGGGCUCAACCUUGGAACUGCCUUCAAAACUCCUGGUCUGGAGUUCGAGAGAGGUGAGUGGAAUUCCGAGUGUAGGGGUGAAAUUCGUAGAUAUUCGGAGGAACACCAGUGGCGAAGGCGGCUCACUGGCUCGAUACUGACGCUGAGGUGCGAAAGCGUGGGGAGCAAACAGGAUUAGAUACCCCUGUAGUCC